UACAGAGACUGCGAGCGUUAUUCGGGUUCACUGGGCGUAAAGGGUGCGCAGGCGGCCGAGUGUGUGAGGCGUGAAAGCCCGGGGCUUAACCCCGGAAUUGCACCUCAAACUACACGGCUAGAGCAUUGGAGAGGGUAGCAGAAUUCAUGGUGUAGCAGUGAAAUGCGUAGAUAUCAUGAGGAAUACCAGAGGCGAAGGCGGCUACCUGGACAAUUGCUGACGCUCAGGCACGAAAGCGUGGGGAGCAAAAGGG
rnacentral:rRNA from 1 species